rnacentral:lncRNA from 1 species
GUGCCUACAAAAUUUCAGGUCAAUCGGAGUAGCGUAGAGUGAGAAAAGUCAAAAUUACUAUUGCUGUUCUGGUUUACCCAAAAUUGGGAUUUGCGACUGUAAUUGGUUGUUUUGGCUGGAAUUGCUUCCGAAUUGGAUGUUGAGGCCUUCUGAUGAAAUUUAGCCCUGUUUCUUAGAUUUCAGCUGGUUUUGGAAUUUCUGGAUUUGGACUUGGAAAGCCUGAGUUAUGAUGUUUCCGCUAGAAUGCGUUCUGUGAAGCUGUUUUUGUGAUUCUGGUGUAGUUUCUUGUAUUUUUGACCUGGUUACACUCGAAACUGAGUUGAGUGACCUUCUACAAUAUUGUAACCCUAUCUCUUAGUUUCGAAAUGGUGUAUCUUGCACUUUCAUCCGACAAUCGUAGCGCCUUUGGUACCAUUACCGCAAAAUGAUGUCAAAACCUGUUUUCUGGUUUUGAGCUUAACUUUCAUUUCCGGACUUUUUCCUAGCUUGACUUGUCUUUGUACUACUUGGAGCUUGCUGAAUGGCUAUUGGAUGAACUUGUUGUUGUGUGUGUACCUUAGGGACUGGCUGAGGAAAUCAUGAAGCCAUGACGGCUGGAAAAGUAAGCAAAUUUAGGGGAAGUGCUGUCCGAACUUUUAAAGGAUUUGUUUGCAUUGAGUUUGUGAUCUAAGACUUGGGUUUGAGCAAGGCAAUGAUACAGGAUGGAUGAUUUCUGAGCCAUUGAGGUGAGUGACCUCAAACUAUUUCUAAAGUUAUUUUUGUACCGUUUUCUUGCAUUAUUUACCUUUAAACUGUUUCCAAAGUUACUUUUGAACUGUUUUCUUGCAUAUCAUGCGUGCUUGCAUGUGAGUGUUCCUUAUUUGCUAUAUUUUCUUGACUUCAUGACUUGUAUUAUUGAUUGAUAACGUGUUAAGUGCUUUGAAUGAUUUCCAAAACGAGCUUUUUAGGCGAGUGUGUACUUUAUCGCAUUCGACCUAAAUAACUGUGCAAUUUUCAAGGAUUUAAUUAUUGAAAUGCUAGUUGCUCAUGAAUGUAAGCCGUUUGGCUGAAUUGGGCCCUGCCCUUUGUUACCGAUCGACUCGAGCCAGAAGCGGACUUGGUCGGGCGAUAUGGUGACCCUGGGUGAAUUUGGUAUACUCGAGUAUUACCUUGUAGUCCGGCUACGUCCGGAUGGGUGGAGUCCGGCCAACGUCCGGAAAAAAAAAAAGAUGAACGAAUAAAAAGAUGAACGAGGGAUUAUUUAUAAAAAAAUGAACGUAUCCUUUUCAUGAAUGUUACUCUCGCUUUCCAUUGUACAUGUUUCUUGAAUUAUUGAUACUCCAUAUUUAAUGUUUUGUAAAUGCUGUAAUCGUUUCUGGACUUAUCAUUUGAUCUAUGACAUCAUUGAUUUAUGACAUCAUUGAAAAGAAAUAUUGUUAAACCGAUUUGAUUACUGAUUUUCUGGUUACUCGCUGAGCUUCUAGCUCACCCCAAAAAUAUUUUAUUCCCCUCCACAGGGCUCAAGGCGAAGGCAGGACUUGUUGUGCUUAUUCACGUGAAUGGAUGGCCUAUAUCUUGUACAGUUUUGGAUUUGGAAUCAUUUGAUGUAUAGUU